rnacentral:lncRNA from 1 species
UCCCAAAGAGCAAAGCUCCGCCGUACAAUAUCAUCAAAUAGUAAAAAGCUAAGUGUCACCCUGUUCAAGAGGAAAGCUGUGGAAAGUCAACAAGCACGACCAAUGAUUACUUAUUAGUUUUAUUCAUUAUCUUUUAUCGUAAUUUUCAAUUUUUUUGUUUGCAAUUUUUUUUUUUUUUUUUUAAUUAAUUUUCUUGCGUACUUAACUGAAUUAUUUCUUUUCUUUGCAGGAACUUUUGGUUAUUUCCACCCUUGAAGUUGAUUGCAGAAUUUUAUCUUGGGGGUCAUCGCUUGAUUUUACUGCAAACUAGGGAAGUUUUCAGUCCAAUUGCUUUAUUUUGUUUCUUAUUAUUUAUUUAUUUUAUUUUAUUUUUAUUUUGCGUUAUAGUGUUUUCUGACAUUGGGGACAAUGUCAAGUUUAAGUGUGGGGGUAGAAAUCUCUAGAAUUUCAUUUGUUUCUGUGUUGUUUUUUUUUUUUUUUUUUUUUUGUUUUCUCUAAAAAUAAAAAAUAAAAAUAAAAAAAAAUCGGAAAAUUUAAAAAUCCAAAAAUAUUGUCUUAUUUCCCUUAUUGUUUUGAAUUAGAUUUUUGUUAGUUUCCCGACCCAAUGAUAUAAUUGGAUCAAAUUCGAAUCAUGAUCAUCAAGAACUUAGUUAACAUGUGUUUGGUGAAAUUCCUAAUUCUCUUGUUAGUUUUGUACAUGUUUGACCAUCUUUGAAAAACCAAAUGCACAUAGCCUUGUUAAUGUGAAACUAAAGCAUGACUUAAAGCUUCAUAUGUGAAUUUAGUGACCAUAUACAUCCUAUGUGAGUUUUUGAGCCGAUUGAAAGUGUGUGCAUUUUUCAUACACUCCUAUUCUUUCAUGUGUGAUGAACUUAUGUGAGAUACAUCUCUAGAACUUGCGUAACGAUCUUUCAAAAUGUUUGUCAUUGAUUACAUGAACUUGGAAAUGAUAGAGGCAUUAGGUUUACCACCAUGGCCCAAAUAACCAUGUUCCCCAAAUAAAAAUGAUAUCAUUAGAUUGCCAAUUUGAGCCGUGUUUGUUGAACCUUUUAUUUCUUAUCACCAGAUAUGUCUACCCUUAUACCUGAAACAUUUUUUCCUUACCCUUUCCAAGCAAGCUAGUGAGCAAUGUGAGAUUGUCUUAUGAGAAAUGUUUGUGAAGUACUUUGAAGGUGUUUGGCAAAAGAAUAACUGUGGGGGUAUUUCAUGUUUGUAUUUAAAAAGAAAAGAAAAAAAAAAGAAAAAAAAAAGAAAAAGAUUGUAUACAAAGAAAAUAAAAAGUUUUUCAAGUUUCAGUUUAAGGGUGUGAUUGGAGGUAUCAGAAGAAUCGUUGGAGAGCUUGAGUUCUUAUAAAUCUAAACAAAAGAAUUGCUUGCAAUGUAGCUUGUAACUUGUGUUUUCCUAUUCUUUCAUUUCAAUAACCCUCUCCCUAAACCUCAUUACGUCCAAUAAAAGUCCUCUUGAUUUAAGUUUUGCAAUUAUGAUUGUGGAGAUGAGAUCUU